rnacentral:tRNA from 1 species
GAAAUGUUAAUCAAUUAAAGCUGCUAACUUUAUAUUUAACGAUUAAUCUCGUUGCAUUUCU